rnacentral:rRNA from 1 species
GAUGAACGCUAGCGGCAGGCUUAACACAUGCAAGUCGAGGGGUAGAGGCUUUCGGGCCUUGAGACCGGCGCACGGGUGCGUAACGCGUAUGCAAUCUGCCUUUCACAGAGGGAUAGCCCAGAGAAAUUUGGAUUAAUACCUCAUAGCAUUACAGAGUGGCAUCACUUUGUAAUUAAAGUCACAACGGUGAAAGAUGAGCAUGCGUCCCAUUAGCUAGUUGGUAAGGUAACGGCUUACCAAGGCAACGAUGGGUAGGGGUCCUGAGAGGGAGAGCCGCCACACUGGUACUGAGUGACGGACCAGCCUCCUACGGGAGGCAGCAGUGAGGAAUAUUGGUCAAUGGGCGCAGGCCUGACCCAGCCAUGCCGCGUGCGGGAUGACGGUCCUAUGGAUUGUAAACUGCUUUUGUACGGGAAGAAACACUCCUACGUGUAGGAGCUUGACGGUACCGUAAGAAUAAGGAUCGGCUAACUCCGUGCCAGCCGCCGCUGUAAAAC